UACGUAGGGGGCAAGCGUUGUCCGGAAUCAUUGGGCGUAAAGAGCGCGCAGGCGGCCAAGUCAGUCGAAUGUGAAAGCCCCCGGCUCAACUGGGGAGGGUCAUUCGAUACUGCUCGGCUCGAAGACAGGAGAGGGAAGUGGAAUUCCCGGUGUAGUGGUGGAAUGCGUAGAUAUCGGGGGGAACAUCAGUGGCGAAAGCGGCACCCUGGCAUUUGCCUGACGCUCAUGUGCGAAAGCGUGGGGAGCGAACGGG
rnacentral:rRNA from 1 species